GCCUCGAUAGCUUAGCCCGGUAUAGCGCGUCCUUGGUAAGGACGAGGUCGCGGGUUCGAAUCCCGUCCGAGGCU
rfam:Methanosaeta concilii GP-6, complete genome.